rnacentral:lncRNA from 1 species
AGACCCGGAGGCGACCUCUCCUGAGCAGCCGGGUUUCUGCACCUCCUGCGUGGACGUCCGGUCCCGGGGCAACCUGGGCUUCCCGCUGGGCACCUGCUCUUCAGAUCUCCUGUCGCUCUAGCAGCGGGGUCCUCACUCCUGCAAGCGUUGGAGGUUCCCUCAAAGCCCGGUCCUUGAGGAAGGGAUGUCGCGAUGUGGAGCUCUCCCUGAGCCCCGGCCGGAGCUUAGUCUUUGCUUCGGGUCAACCUCUUCUACCCAAACCGCGGAGAUGGAGGGCGGGGAGAAAGAGCCGGUUGGAACUGGACCGCUCCAGGCAGAGGGGAAACCUGAGUGGGCGGGAGCCACCCCUGGCUGAGGGUCUUGGGGACGCUACGGGAGCUCAGGUCACUAGGGGGCCUUGCGCGUGCAGCAGAUCUAGGCUGCGCGUACGUCCUGGUUCGCAGGGUCUAAGUAAAACUCACAGAUGGGAACCGAGACUUUAGUAGCCAGAAAAAAAAAAAAAGAAGUCUCGGACCCCAAACUUUGCUAGUGACUGGUGUUUGAGCUCUCUUCCAGCAGGUAGAUGCGUCACUGUGCGAACGCAUCCCUUUAAAACGGAAAGCUGCUCUCCUAAGCAGGGGGGCGGGGGUGGAAUGUGAUGAACUAAAUAUUGUAUAAUGAGGUCACCAGUGUUUUGGUUGCCAGUGAAUUCUCCCUCUUCUCAUCCAAAGCACCCAGCAAGUGGGGGCUGCACUUGUACACUUAACCAAGUCUAAUGUGCCAGGUGUUUAUGUCUGCCCAUUCUGGAGAGCGGUACAAUUUCUGAUACUUCAUAGAUACUCAGUAACUACUGAAAUUAUUUGGGUUGUAUAACCUCACUAAGGGGUAACAUGGAUUAAAAAAAUGUAAAACUUAGAAACUGUGGGAUUGCAUUGGAAGCUGUAACAAGUGCUUAACUCGGUGGUAGUCCUGUAAAGGGAACAGAUGGUAGUUAUAAUCUCUGUGCAGAUAUACUUGUCGUUAAUCCUAUGUAUGUAGGUAGCCAAGAAGUUUGAGACUAACUAUAGCUAGGUUAGAGAGAGGAGUUACCUGGACUUGCAUUGAUCUAAAAGGAGAGGUUGAGGUUGGUGUGUCUGCAGUCAGACAUUUCAACGCGCCUUCCCUAGAGAACAUUUUAACAUUCUGCUCACUUAAUUUUCAUUACAAAUAAGUAUUAUCAAUUCAGCAAGUGUGCAUAAAUAUGAAGUGUUCUGUGUUGAUGUAUUCCCUUUUAUAACAUCUCUGCUAGGACGGAAGAAAAAGAGGCCUCAAGAUGCUCGUUUUAUGCAAAAGAGACAGAAGGGCAAACAUCCCCCCCCCCCCCCGCGCGCCCCGAAGUAAAUCCAUGUAUCAGCUGAGGGUCUGGUGAAUGGGCACCGCAAGUGUGACCCAAGACAACUGGAGGUCUGGGAGUCUCCCUUCUGUGUGUUUUAGCUCAGAGUCUGGGGUCUGGAAACCACUCCUAAUGACUGUGUGCUUGUCCAUGUGAGUAAUUUAUCGCUUCCAUUUGGCAACGGGGGAAAUGUAAUUUUCUCCAUGUGAUGAGCGUGAGUGAAUGGAUCAUGCAUAGCAAAUGGCCCUCCUCCAAACUGUUGGAUGAGAGACUAUGAAAUAUGCAUUUGAAUAUCAGAGUCCACUGCUACAGAACGCCUGGGGCAAAAUAAGAACUGAGAGCCUACCUAGGCUCCUCCCAUCACACUUGCUACAUGGGGUCUUCCUCCUGCUCUUAGGAAACAAGCGAUCUCUUAUUUUCACUCCGCAGGGGAGGCUCCUGAAGGACUUGCUGGAGGAGGCAGUGUGUUAACCCGCUGGGACGAAGGAGCCAUUCUGUCCUGUGCCCCGCUGCCUGUGUCUGAACACACCAACUACCUCAGUGUCUAGCCAGGGCACCAACCUCUGUGUAGCCCUGGAAGUUAUGGGAACAGGAUUAUACACUGCAGCCAUCAAAACCGGUUUAAGGGUCUUCAAGAUGACUCAGCAGAUAGAAGGAUUGCUGCCAAUGCCUAGUAACCUGUAUUUGAUAGCCAGGAUCUACAUAGUAAGAUAGAACAAACUCCAGGAAGUUGUCUUCUGACCUUUCACCCCAUGCCCUUCUUCCUCCAAACAAUAAAUGUAGUGAAGAAUUGU